rnacentral:antisense_RNA from 1 species
CUUCACCGACCCCAGCCACAGCGGCGUCUCCCGCUCUUGGCCGUAGGUCGCCAGCAGUGCCUGGGCCUC